CCAUCGGUGGCUCAGUGGUAGAAUGCCUGCCUUCCAUGCGGGAGACCUGGGUUUGCUCCCCAGCCAAGGCG
rnacentral:tRNA from 1 species